GAGUUUGAUCAUGGCUCAGGACGAACGCUGGCGGCGUGCCUAACACAUGCAAGUCGAGCGAGGAGAUUCCCUUCGGGGAUGAACCUAGCGGCGGACGGGUGAGUAACACGUGGGCAACCUGCCUUAUAGAGGGGAAUAGCCUUCCGAAAGGAAGAUUAAUACCGCAUAACAUUACAUUUUCGCAUGAAGAAGUAAUUAAAGGAGUAAUCCGCUAUAAGAUGGGCCCGCGGCGCAUUAGCUAGUUGGUGAGGUAACGGCUCACCAAGGCGACGAUGCGUAGCCGACCUGAGAGGGUGAUCGGCCACAUUGGGACUGAGACACGGCCCAGACUCCUACGGGAGGCAGCAGUGGGGAAUAUUGCACAAUGGGGGAAACCCUGAUGCAGCAACGCCGCGUGAGUGAUGAAGGUCUUCGGAUCGUAAAGCUCUGUCUUCAGGGACGAUAAUGACGGUACCUGAGGAGGAAGCCACGGCUAACUACGUGCCAGCAGCCGCGGUAAUAC
rnacentral:rRNA from 1 species